AUGAAGUCACAGACUCAGUUUCUCAUAGCCUUGCUGCUUUGGGUGUCUGGUGCCUGUGCAGACAUUGUGAUGACUCAGUCUCCAUCCUCCCUGGCUGUGUCAGCAGGAGAGAAGGUCUCCAUUAGCUGCAGGUCCAGUCAGAGCCUUUUAUACAGCAAAGACCAAAAGAACUACUUGGUCUGGUUCCAGCAGAAACCAGAGCAAUCCCCUAAACGGCUGAUCUACUAUGUAUCCAAUCUGGACACUGGGGUCCCUGAUCGCUUCACAGGCAGUGGAUCUGGGACAGAUUUCACUCUCAGCAUCAGCAGUGUGCAGGCUGAAGACCUGGCAGUUUAUUACUGUCUGCAACAUUACAAACAUCCUCUCACAGUGAAGGAUCAUCUUUAUGACCUUCUGCUGCAAAAUUCCCAAAUAAACAAGAAAGACAUUAUGGAAAAAGCCUCCCAAGAUCAAGUUAAUGAGCUGCAGGAUACCAGUGCGAACAUCGUUAUGACCCAGUUUCCAUCCUCCCUGGAUGUGUCAGCAGAAGAGAAGGUCACCAUCAGUUGA